GUGGGUUCGCGAGGGCCGACGGCUUGCUCUACCUACCACUCGGACGAUGACGACGACGGGAACUGCAGAUACUGCUACGGCUUGGCUUGCUGCUACCAAGGCAGUUUCUGGGAGGCUCUAAAUUGGGUACGAAUCAUGCCAUGAACCAUUCACGACCACAGAUCGAAGCGCUGCUACACGGGCAAACUGCCAGUGCAAAUGGGAGGAGCCUCCCUGGCAUAGGGGAGGCACAGAGCUUGUCGUCUCCUGCCCAAGCUGCUGCUGCCCGCAACCACGCCCUCUAGAUUCUGCUUGGCCACAGUUUCGACCACCUGCUCCUUUUAGCGACUACGUCCCUGAGUUGCUGCUAGCGUCCACCACUCCAAGCUGCUUCUGAUGCCUGAUGAGUUGAUACUGGAGGUUGGACCAUACAUUGAGGAGCUCAAGAGAACACAUGGUGCUAUUUCUGAAUUUGGAAAGCCGAAGUUCAAGGCAUAUAGGUUGCUCGACUUGGCCAAAACGACGAUGGCGACGAGGGCCGAGUUGCGGUGCCCUUCUUCUCGGCCCCCUCUUCCAGCUUCCUAGCUGUCCGCUACCGGUUACCGAGAGAUAGAUGGUUGCGGCCGCCCAUGUUCUAAAGCCACUGCUGUAGAAGCAGGUGCAGUUUAUCGAUGGAAGUGACCGAAGAGAACUGUGAUGCAUCCCAGGAAGCGAAGGUCAUGCCCAUCGAGGCAAUCUCAGCAGGGAAAUUGGAACAUGAUGUUGGUUAUCUCACCAAGGAGAUCCUGUUGAGUCGAACCUUUGCAAUCAUGAUCUUUGUGUCUCUACGCAGCGUUUGUGUUCAUUAAAAUGAAGAAACCUGUUGCUGCCAUCCAUGAUGCCAAUGCUUCUCUACAGAACGCAGGCCCACAGAGGGUCUUCAUCCACGACACACUGAAAGGAGCACCAUGAAACAGAUGGACGAAGGAGUAUGCUGCAGCUGCUUGACGCCAGCGAGGAGCCCCGUGCCGUUUGUGCGGUCGUGGAAGGCCCACACAGCACCUCGGUUCGGUCUUGGCCGUCUCCUUGGAUGUGGUUGUCAGAAACAAGAUCGCACCCGCUGUACUGCUGUGCCGCUGCAGCUGGUGAGACAUCUCUUGCCUUAUCUCUCUCCCCGAAUUGUGCAGGGCGCUGCCCUGAGUAUUAAUUUUUUGAUCCGCUGCUUUUAUGGUUGAUUCCACGGUUGAUAGUUUGAGCAGAUCACUUGUCCAUGCCGCUUAUGAUCUAGAGGAAUGGUAAUUUUUAUCUCCUUUUGCCAAUUUGAACAUGUAGUAGUAUGCAUGUAUUGCUUGAUAUAUUUUCAUCCUUAAAAGUUAAUUUGCACGCCGUGUGGUUUGACCAUCUAUGCUGCCUCAUGUGCAAUCAGAUGCCAGAGACCAUGCGCCACCUCAUAAUCGAGUCACCGUUUUCUUUUUCUGUUUCAACCAAUAUGGAACUAGUUACCUAGACUAUGUGGCAUCCUUAGUUUCAACCAAUAUGUUGUGUCCUUAGGAUUUAACCAUCAUCUGGCAUCCUGCUGUAUAUUUUUUCCCUAUAGGUGGUGAUAAUUUGCUAUAAAUCAAAUCAAACCAAAUCCCGGUCUUAUACCAUUAACCAUGGUUUGUGAAUUCUUAAAUGUGUCUUCUUAUAUGUUUCGUCUGGGUGUUGUGCUCAGAUGAUGAAACUGAAGUGAAAUAAGAAAUCUUGCGGCUAGAUCUGGCCAUUCUAGCUUCCGGUUGUGCUGUUGCUGUGCUGUGCAACCGCGGUGGU